GAAUUCGCCCUUAGAGUUUGAUCCUGGCUCAGGACGAACGCUGGCGGCGCGCCUAACACAUGCAAGUCGAACGAGCGAGAGAGAGCUUGCUUUCUCGAGCGAGUGGCGAACGGGUGAGUAACGCGUGAGGAACCUGCCUCAAAGAGGGGGACAACAGUUGGAAACGACUGCUAAUACCGCAUAAGCCCACGGCUCGGCAUCGAGCAGAGGGAAAAGGAGCAAUCCGCUUUGAGAUGGCCUCGCGUCCGAUUAGCUAGUUGGUGAGGUAACGGCCCACCAAGGCGACGAUCGGUAGCCGGACUGAGAGGUUGAACGGCCACAUUGGGACUGAGACACGGCCCAGACUCCUACGGGAGGCAGCAGUGGGGAAUAUUGCACAAUGGGGGAAACCCUGAUGCAGCGACGCCGCGUGGAGGAAGAAGGUCUUCGGAUUGUAAACUCCUGUUGUUGGGGAAGAUAAUGACGGUACCCAACAAGGAAGUGACGGCUAACUACGUGCCAGCAGCCGCGGUAAAACGUAGGUCACAAGCGUUGUCCGGAAUUACUGGGUGUAAAGGGAGCGCAGGCGGGAAGACAAGUUGGAAGUGAAAUCUAUGGGCUCAACCCAUAAACUGCUUUCAAAACUGUUUUUCUUGAGUAGUGCAGAGGUAGGCGGAAUUCCCGGUGUAGCGGUGGAAUGCGUAGAUAUCGGGAGGAACACCAGUGGCGAAGGCGGCCUACUGGGCACCAACUGACGCUGAGGCUCGAAAGUGUGGGUAGCAAACAGGAUUAGAUACCCUGGUAGUCCACACCGUAAACGAUGAUUACUAGGUGUUGGAGGAUUGACCCCUUCAGUGCCGCAGUUAACACAAUAAGUAAUCCACCUGGGGAGUACGACCGCAAGGUUGAAACUCAAAGGAAUUGACGGGGGCCCGCACAAGCAGUGGAGUAUGUGGUUUAAUUCGACGCAACGCGAAGAACCUUACCAAGUCUUGACAUCCCUUGACAGGCAUAGAAAUAUGUUUUCUCUUCGGAGCAAGGAGACAGGUGGUGCAUGGUUGUCGUCAGCUCGUGUCGUGAGAUGUUGGGUUAAGUCCCGCAACGAGCGCAACCCCUAUCUUCAGUAGCCAGCGGUAAGGCCGGGCACUCUGGAGAGACUGCCAGGGAUAACCUGGAGGAAGGUGGGGAUGACGUCAAAUCAUCAUGCCCCUUAUGAGCAGGGCUACACACGUGCUACAAUGGCGUAAACAAAGGGAAGCAGAGUCGUGAGGCCGAGCAAAUCCCAAAAAUAACGUCUCAGUUCGGAUUGUAGUCUGCAACUCGACUACAUGAAGCUGGAAUCGCUAGUAAUCGCGAAUCAGAAUGUCGCGGUGAAUACGUUCCCGGGUCUUGUACUCACCGCCCGUCA
rnacentral:rRNA from 1 species